GAUGAAGAACGCAGCGAAAUGCGAUAAGUAAUGUGAAUUGCAGAAUUCAGUGAAUCAUCGAAUCUUUGAACGCACAUUGCGCCCGCCAGUAUUCUGGCGGGCAUGCCUGUUCGAGCGUCAUUACAACCCUCAGGCCCCCGGGCCUGGCGUUGGGGAUCGGCGGAGCCCCCCGUGGGCACACGCCGUCCCCCAAAUGCAGUGGCGGUCCCGCCGCAGCUUCCAUCGCGUAGUAGCUAACACCUCGCGACUGGCGAGCGGCGCGGCCACGCCGUAAAACACCCAACUCUUCUGAAGUUGACCUCGAAUCAGGUAGGAAUACCCGCUGAACUUAAGCAUAUCAAUAAGCGGAGGA
rnacentral:misc_RNA from 1 species